rnacentral:rRNA from 1 species
UACGUAGGGUGCAAGCGUUAAUCGGAAUUACUGGGCGUAAAGCGUGCGCAGGCGGUGAUGUAAGACAGAUGUGAAAUCCCCAGGCUCAACCUGGGAACUGCGUCCGAUACUGGAUGGCUUGAAUCCGGGAGAGGGAUGCAGAAUUCCAGGUGUAGCGGUGAAAUGCGUAGAUAUCUGGAGGAAUACCGGUGGCGAAGGCGGCAUCCUGGACCGGCAUUGACGCUGAGGAGCGAAAGCCAGGGGAGCAAACGGG